rfam:Oscillibacter sp. KLE 1745 genomic scaffold Scaffold338, whole genome shotgun sequence.
CAGGAUCUUCAGGGCGGGGUGAAAUUCCCCACCGGCGGUACAGCCCGCGAGCCGAAAGGCAGACUUGGUGAAACUCCAAGGCCGACAGUAAAGUCUGGAUGAAAGAAGAUCGUG